AGUGAACGCUGGCGGUAGGCCUAACACAUGCAAGUCGAACGGCAGCACAGUAAGAGCUUGCUCUUACGGGUGGCGAGUGGCGGACGGGUGAGGAAUACAUCGGAAUCUACUUUUUCGUGGGGGAUAACGUAGGGAAACUUACGCUAAUACCGCAUACGACCUACGGGUGAAAGCAGGGGAUCUUCGGACCUUGCGCGAUUGAAUGAGCCGAUGUCGGAUUAGCUAGUUGGCGGGGUAAAGGCCCACCAAGGCGACGAUCCGUAGCUGGUCUGAGAGGAUGAUCAGCCACACUGGAACUUAGACACGGUCCAGACUCCUACGGGAGGCAGCAGUGUGGAAUAUUGGACAAAGGGCGCAAGCCUGAUCCAGCCAUACCGCGUGGGUGAAGAAGGCCUUCGGGUUGUAAAGCCCUUUUGUUGGGAAAGAAAAGCAGCAGGUUAAUACCCCGCUGUUCUGACGGUACCCAAAGAAUAAGCACCGGCUAACUUCGUG
rnacentral:rRNA from 1 species